CCUACGGGUGGCAGCAGUGGGGGAUAUUGCACAAUGGGGGAAACCCUGAUGCAGCGACGCCGCGUGAGUGAAGAAGUAUUUCUGUAUGUAAAGCUCUAUCAGCAGGGAAGAAAAAAGACGGUACCUGACUAAGAAGCGCCGGCUAACUACGUGCCAGCAGCCGCGGUAAUACGUAGGGGGCAAGCGUUAUCCGGAUUUACUGGGUGUAAAGGGAGCGUAGACGGCAAUACAAGUCGGAAGUGAAAUACCCGGGCUCAACCUGGGAACUGCUUUGGAAACUGUAUGGCUAGAGUGCUGGAGAGGUAAGCGGAAUUCCUAGUGUAGCGGUGAAAUGCGUAGAUAUUAGGAGGAACACCAGUGGCGAAGGCGGCUUACUGGACAGUAACUGACGUUGAGGCUCGAAAGCGUGGGGAGCAAACAGGAUUAGAUACCCGGGUAGUC
rnacentral:rRNA from 1 species